rnacentral:rRNA from 1 species
AUACGUAGGGGGCAAGCGUUAUCCGGAUUUACUGGGUGUAAAGGGAGCGUAGACGGCAAAGCAAGUCUGAAGUGAAAGCCCCGGGCUCAACCCGGGAAUUGCUUUGGAAACUGUUUAGCUGGAGUGCAGGAGAGGUAAGCGGAAUUCCUAGUGUAGCGGUGAAAUGCGUAGAUAUUAGGAGGAACACCGGCGGCGAAGGCGGCUUACUGGACUGUAACUGACGUUGAGGCUCGAAAGCGUGGGGAGCAAACAGGAUUAGAUCCCCUGGUAGUCCACGCCGUAAACGAUGAUUACUAGGUGUUGGUUGUCAUAGACAAUCGGUGCCGCAGCAAACGCAAUAAGUAAUCCACCUGGGGAGUACGUUCGCAAGAAUGAAACUUAAAGGAAUUGACGGGG